rnacentral:rRNA from 1 species
CGGCGGACGGGUGAGUAACACGUGGAUAACUUACCUAUAAGACUGGGAUAACUUCGGGAAACCGGAGCUAAUACCGGAUAAUAUAUUGAACCGCAUGGUUCAAUAGUGAAAGACGGUUUUGCUGUCACUUAUAGAUGGAUCCGCGCUGCAUUAGCUAGUUGGUAAGGUAACGGCUUACCAAGGCAACGAUGCGUAGCCGACCUGAGAGGGUUAUCGGCCACACUGGAACUGAGACACGGUCCAGACUCCUACGGGAGGCAGCAGCC